rnacentral:rRNA from 1 species
AGAGUUUGAUCAUGGCUCAGAAUCAACGCUGGCGGCGUGCCUAACACAUGCAAGUCGAACGCGAAAGUGGAGCAAUCCAUGAGUAGAGUGGCAAACGGGUGAGUAACGCGUGGGCGACCUACCUCUGAGUGGGGGAUAACCUUCCGAAAGGAGGGCUAAUACCGCAUGACAUCCCGUGUUUGGAUACACGGACAUCAAAGCCGGGGAUCGCAAGACCUGGCGCUUGGAGAGGGGCCCGCGUCCGAUUAGCUAGUUGGUGAGGUAACGGCUCACCAAGGCUCCGAUCGGUAUCCGGCCUGAGAGGGCGGACGGACACACUGGAACUGAGACACGGUCCAGACUCCUACGGGAGGCAGCAGUGGGGAAUUGUUCACAAUGGGCGCAAGCCUGAUGACGCAACGCCGCGUGGAGGAUGAAGACUUUCGGGUCGUAAACUCCUUUCGACCGAGAUGAAUUUCCCGCGACCUAACACGUCGCGGGAGUGACAGUAUCGAGGGAAGAAGCCCCGGCUAACUCUGUGCCAGCAGCCGCGGUAAUACAGGGGGGGCGAGCGUUGUUCGGAAUUACUGGGCGUAAAGGGUUCGUAGGUGGCCACUUAAGUCAGACGUGAAAUCCCUCAGCUUAACUGGGGAACUGCGUCUGAUACUGCGUGGCUUGAGUGCAGGAGAGGAAUGCGGAAUUCCAGGUGUAGCGGUGAAAU